rnacentral:ncRNA from 1 species
UGGGGCCACGACGCGAACGCCCCGUGAGGCUUUGGCCAAAGGUUCGC